rnacentral:rRNA from 1 species
UACGAAGGGGGCUAGCGUUGCUCGGAAUCACUGGGCGUAAAGCGCACGUAGGCGGUUUCUUAAGUCAGGGGUGAAAUCCUGGAGCUCAACUCCAGAACUGCCUUUGAUACUGGGAGACUUGGAGUCCGGGAGAGGUGAGUGGAACUGCGAGUGUAGAGGUGAAAUUCGUAGAUAGUUCGGAAGAACACCAGUGGCGAAAGGCGGCUCACUGGCCCGGUACGUGGACGCUGAGGUGCGAAAGCGUGGGGAGCAAACAGGG